GUGCUCACUUCGGCAGCACAUAUAGUAAAAUUGGAACAAUACAGAGAUUAACAUGACCCUCUGCACAAGGAUGACACACAAAUUAGUGAAGUGUUCCAUACUAAA
rnacentral:snRNA from 1 species